rfam:Picea glauca, whole genome shotgun sequence.
GUAACGGUGUCUUUAGACACCACCUUCUUUCUUCAAAAUAUUAUUU